UGGGGAAUAUUGGACAAUGGGCGCAAGCCUGAUGACGCAAUGCCGCGUGGAGGAUGAAGGUCUUCGGCUUGUAAACUCCUGUUGCCAGGGACGAAUGGCUCCGACCUAAUACGUCGGAGAAUGACGGUACCUGGUGAGGAAGCCCCGGCUAACUCUGUGCCAGCAGCCGCGGUAAUACGUAGGGGGCGAGCGUUGUUCGGAAUUACUGGGCGUAAAGCGCGCGUAGGCGGCUUUGUAAGUUAGAGGUGAAAGCCCGGAGCUCAACUCCGGAAUUGCCUUUAAGACUGCAUCGCUAGAAUCGUGGAGAGGUGAGUGGAAUUCCGAGUGUAGAGGUGAAAUUCGUAGAUAUUCGGAAGAACACCAGUGGCGAAGGCGACUCACUGGACACGUAUUGACGCUGAGGUGCGAAAGCGUGGGGAGCAAA
rnacentral:rRNA from 1 species